CUCAUAAUGCACCCAGCUGAUAAUUAUGGCGUCACAAUUUCACUUUCACCACUGAAAGCCACUCUUGUUCCCCUACCCCUUCCCCUCCCUCUCUCUCUACACAUGUAUUUGUAAUCGAGCGCAAUUACGAUUCAAUUUCUGUGGUUCACAGCCGGAAUUGUCAUCCGAUUUGGUGUUUGCAAAUUGAAAUUGAAAACCCUAAUUCAAAAUUGGGGAAACAGCUGCGGAUGCGAUGGGGUUGCUGCUUGACGAUGCGGUGAUAAUCAAGCUAUCCGAGAAGGAAGAGGAGCCUACUAUUAUCACUGUAAAUUGUCCCGAUAAGACUGGAUUGGGUUCAGAUCUUUGCCGCAUAAUCCUCUUCUUUGGUCUCACUGUAACCAGAACUGACAUGUCUACAGAUGGAAAAUGGUGCUACAUAGUGUUUUGGGUGAUAGGCAAACAGGUCACAAGAUGGAGCUUGCUGAAGAAGAGGUUGAUGGGGGCAUGCCCAUCUUAUUAUUCAUUGGCUUCGGGAAUUUCGUAUUACAGAGCUGAGUUGCAGCCCCCCAAGCCUUCUGAUGUCUUCCUUUUAAAGUUAUGCUGCCAUGACAGGGGAGGUCUUCUAUAUGAUGUGACCGAGGUUCUUUGUGAACUUGAGCUAACGAUAGAGAGAGUAAAGGUAUCAACUACUCCGGAUGGAAAAGUGGUGGAUCUUUUCUUCGUAACCGACACAAGGGAACUGUUGCAUACAAAUAGCAGGAAGGACGAUGCUUGCUUUCAUCUAAAACUUGUUCUUGGCGAUGUAAUUAUCAGUUGUGAUAUAGAAAUGGCGAGCCCUGAAGUCACUGCCUGUUCUCAAGGACCCUCCUUUCUUUCAGAUGCGAUUGCUGAAGAGAUGUUCGAUAUAGAGAUGCUUGACAAACGGCAAGAUGAUUGUACGGCCUUUAAUUGCCCAUCCAUCACGAUGGACAACUUGUUGAGUCCUUCCCACACGCUUGUCCAAAUCGUUUGCCAGAAUCAUAAAGGUCUGUUAUAUGAUGUAAUGCGAACAUUAAAGGACUACAACAUUCAGAUUUCUUACGGACGCUUCACCACAGGCGGGAAAAGCAACGGUGAAAUGGACUUAUUCAUUAUGCAAGCAGAUGGUAAGAAGAUCAUCGACCCCAGCAAGCAGAAUGCUCUGCGCUCUCGUCUACAAACAGAACUAAGCCGUCCUCUCAGAGUAGCAUUGAUUAGCCGUGGCCCUGAUACUGAACUGCUAGUUGCAAAUCCUGUUGAGCUAUCCGGAAAGGGCCGGCCCCUAGUUUUCCAUGACAUAACCCUCGCCCUCAAGAAGCUUAACACACCAAUAUUUUCGGCUGAAAUCGUUAGGUAUGAGGUUGGUGAUCGCGAGUGGGAAAUUUACAGAGUUCUACUAGAUGAAGGAGACGGAUCCUCCAUUCCAAAGAAAAAGAUAGAGGAAACCGUGUGGGAUAUGCUAAUGCGCUGGGAGUGAAAAUUUCCGAACUUCCUGCUCUACUUGAUCAUCGAUCUUCAUCUGCUGCCCGGUUUGUGCAGGAUGCCGGAAACCACUGCCCAGAAGGUAAUCUCAGCAAAUAUUACGUAGAGUAGAGUCCCGACUCGCUCAGAUUUCCAGACAUCGAUGAAAACGUGCUGCUGAAUCCAGUUCACCUGAAGAAAAGAACACGAAAGAUUGUUGUCGGGAUUCUUGAAAUACCAUCCGUUGACGAAGGCUGCGAAGAUCCCCUGCGCUGCCAUCACGAACACAAGCAUCGCGUUCAUCCCUAUCCACUCCAAGAACAAGAAUGGCACGCGCAUUCCCCAGACGUCAAUCUGCGCAACCAUUUGCUCGAAGAUUUGUUAUCGAGGAGAAUGUUGGCCCGGAUCAAAACAGUGUCGUUCUUACCAGUAUGUAAAAGGCGGAGAAGACAAUGCCAGCAGCCCCAGCGGUGAAGCAGACAUAGCUGAAACUGUAGAGCUGCUUGUUGAUCGGAAUUGCUGAUUCGAAAACACCGUCAGUCUCGAUUCUCCGGGAUAAAAAACAGCGUAAAAGUAUGUCAUUACCAUCCGUAAAGUGAAGAACGAAGGCUACGGUCAGCAACACCAGUGCCAUCGGCACCCAUUGUUUCAGCCUCUCCGCGUGGCCCUGCAACAAAGAACGUCGUAUCAGAGUUUUCGUCGGAAUUCAAAGAUUUCAAUAAAGUGUGUUCUCCGAUUCUCUAUCAGCAUACUCGGAAAUGGAUCAAGACAUGGCCGUAGUGAACUCCGAUGGUGCCGGAGACAAUGGCUGAGAUCGAGCUGCAGCGAAAAGAAUCUCGUCAUAGUUAGCUCAAUGUCGAAGAUGGAUAAAGUGAAACAAACGAUCGAAAUCAAAACCUGAGCAGGCCUUCGGGUUCGAACGGUGCGCGACACCAAGCCGGCGCAUCCUUUCGAAGAGGACCGGCAGAUGGAGAACUGAAAGUACAAGCCUGCAAGUCAAUCGAUGAGCAUACGGCGGGAACCUUAAACCGGAACGUAAAGCGCAAGAAAAGGGUUCGGGAGCGCUAACUCGUAAUCGCGACCAAACGGGUUGGUUGUAGAGAUGAUUAAUGCCCCAGACUUGUCGAUCGACAUAGCCUACCGCGUUGCAGGCCGGUCCGAGAUGUCCUCUCAUUCCACAUUUCACCUGAAAGUUACGAUUCCGGCGUGUUAUCGAGUUUUCGAAGAAGUUCCGAUAGUGCUGCAACUAUCGUCGAUUGUUACCGUGUAUCUUCCCGUUUUGUCCGUGAAGCUCCAGUCGGGAACAUACAGAGAGAACGUCGUGACCAUGUAGAUCGUGAAUGCUACGAAGCCUCCGAUCCUGCAAACGACGACGCAAUUAUUGUCAUACGAUUGUCGUCGGUGGAGACUGAAUAAGGUGCGGCGAGUAUAUCACCAUUGGCAUUUAUAUGCAGUGAAGAUCGAGAAGUGAUUCGGGUUUAGAGUCGCCGGCUUGAGCUUCGUCGUUAAGACCUCGAUCAAAGCCACCACGAAGUACACCAACGCGAUUCUCUGCGACACGAGAAA